AAAAAAGCGCCCUCCCGUGACCACGCCCUCGGGCAGCUUGGCCCCUGCCCGACCUCUUCCCCCCACAUACUCCCCGCCAGCCACCGCCGCCUCCAUCUGCACGCCGCCGGACCGCCACGCCCACUCUCCAGCCGCUCGGCCGCCCUGUCCACGCGCCGCCCGGUCCGGCCCCUCCCCACCCCGUCCACAACGCGCCGCGCCCAGAGGAGAGCCGAGCCGUCAGGGCCGCCGCGCCCAGCCGAGCCGUCAGGGCCGCCGCGCCCAGCCGAGCCGUCAGGACCGCCGGCGCGCCGCCCGGUCCGCCGUCGCCGCCAUCCCUCCUCCACGCACUGCCGCCUCCGCCGAGGAAGAGGUGCCCCGUGAAGGGGAAGUCCCUCCAGGGACGGCGCAGUCGGCGAGCACCGUGUAGGCGUCGGUGAGGACAUGGGCGAGGGAGGUGGCCCUGUUGUGCGCGGCGGGGAGGCAGAUGCCGACCGCGUGUCUCCUCUCCGAAGGGGUGUGCCUGCAUCCGAUGUUCUGCACCUUCUCUUGUCCAAGUCAUGAUUCCUUGUAGUAGGAGGGAAUCACAUUGGAUCCGAGUAUGUGAGGGAGGAGCAAGAGCAACAGGAAAUUGAUAAGGUUUUCCACCGGGAGAACAAUUUCUAGAUGCUAAAUUGAAAUGUAUUGUCCAGUGUCUUGCGAUGUCAUUCUUUCAUUAUUCAAGGCAUUGUGUGGCGAUGAACACAUGACCAGCAAGGGGCCCUGCCCCCCUCCCAAUACUAUGGAUUUGUUCAUAAUAAACACAUGAACAAUGCAGCAUUUGACUUGUUUUCUGCUCCAACCGGCCCUCCUCAACAUCCUAAUCCCACUAAUCCCGCCUCCGCCACUGCAGGCAUGCCGGCCUUUUCUUAAUUGCUAUACUUUUGAGGACGCAUCACUAAAAAAACUAAAAGAGGUUUCAUGGCAAUGAUGAAGUGCUACCAAAUUAUGUUCCAAGAAAAAUGAUUUCUGCCUCAACUUGACUACAUGCAUGUUGAAUUGUUGACCCGAUUUGACGGACUAUAUAAGUGCUCUUCUCCUUGGGAAUUUGAAAGCACGCCCCUUCUAAGCAUCGCACAAUAUAUAUGCUUAUAUAUGUGGUAGCAGUCAUUGGUACAAGCAUGUGUGCAUUAGACCAGAAAAGGGGUAAGUUGCCUUUGAUACUGAUCUGGUACCCCCCUAUAAGCGUAUGAUAUUAAAUAGGUUUCUAUUGAUUUAUCAAUAGAGAAUUUAUGUCAAUUGAUUUAAUGUCGAUAUAAGCUUUAUGCAAGUUUGUUUUCUCGAGAGUACACGAUCGGUAUUAUAGCUUUUUUAUGCAAGUUUGUGAAUUCUGAAGUAGUGGAUCCUACCAUGUUUCAAACUCGCAGAGCAUAUUGAAGGUGGUACAAAUCAUUGCAGAGUGAAUUACAAGUAGCUAUAUGUGGAUUGGAAUUUAUUGAAACUUUGCAUAUUCAAAAUUUUAAGUCGAAUGAGACGUGCAUUGCACAUGCAUGCUUACUAGUAUUACAAGGCGGAGGGAAUACUAAUUAAGGUAAUUGUAUAUUGUAGCAACGUCUAAGUCACGUGUUUGCAUACUUAUGGCCAGUGAAUGAUGUGGGCAUUUUUUUAUUGUCUUGCCACCGUACAUGAUCGAGUUACAUCGGGGAAUCGAUCCGUGUGAUCCGCAUAGUGUUGUACUCUACAGGGUCAAUCUACCUUGUCAUUUAGUGUGUGCAGCAGUCUUUGUACAUUACAUGAUAUAAUCGGGACAAAAAAAAUUGCAAUCUUUACGGUGGUGGCGAUUCUCGACGAAUAUUAUCAUUUUAUUUGUGAACUUGGUGUAUCACUGAUUGCAAAUCUAGAUUAAUACCGGACUGAACUUGGUGUAUCACUUAUUUGUAAACAAAAAUAGUUCGAACAUUGUAAUAAGAAGGCAAAUAUAGAUGCUCAUGAGCUUGAUGACUAGAUUUUCCUUGACGUUGGAUUGGUUUGAGGAAUCUCUGACUGAAAUUGUGCGCUUCUCAUAAACGAUUUAACCGUCAUUUUCAAUGAACAAAGUUUUAGGUGUUUUGUGAAAAAUAAUAGAUCGGGAUAUUUUUGAAAAAAACAUAGCAUGAUAUUUUAACCUUAGAUUUGUCUUAUCCAUUUGUUGUGAGAUUAGUGCGAGCAGACCCUUUGCUCGAGCCUUUUCCGGAGAGACCUACCUCGAGGUAUCUCAGAAAUCAACGGCUCAAAAUAAACCCCGGAAACCGAAUCCCUGCGCCCACACAGACACUGUGACGGAACUCCUCCAGAUAGGAAGAUAAUGGUGGGCCGGAAGCCGAUGCGCCGGCGCCGCGCCGACCACCCGCCUCCGCCGCCGCCACAGUCCUUCGGUGCCACGGCCCGGCCGACCUCCCCCCGCUCCUCCACCUCCGCCUCCGCCGUCGCCGACCUGGACGAGCUGCUCCACACGCCGUCCGCGUCGGAGCCCCGGAGCUUCCCGCACGCGGUGAAGCAGCAGUGCUGGGAGAAGGCCGAGAAGGUGCCUGGGCGCGACCCGGAGAGGUGGCGCCGCGACGCGCUCGGCAACAUCGUCUUCCGCAAGCUCGUCGGCUGCCCCGGCUGCCUCUGCCACGACUACGACCACAUCGUGCCCUACUCCAAGGGCGGGAAGAGCACAUUGGAGAACUGCCAGGUUUUGCAGGCUACUGUGAAUCGAUCUAAAGGGAACAAUACUGAGAUAUCCAAAUCUGAACUAGCACAGAGAAGCGCAUAUUGUCGGGUUUCAGGACGUGAUAUGGAUCUUUUUGAACUCUCUGCCUUUGGGAAUGUUCGACGAGGGCCAGAUUCAGGGGGCUGCAAAAUCCAAUGAAGAAAUGAACAUAUCUGAUGUGAUGUUAACCAGCUUUGAGCAGUUGCCUCGAAUCUGUGAAGAGAAAGCUUGGUUGAUGGUUGUGUCAAAUAUUAUCAGUUAUAUGUCUGUAAUUUGACACUUUGAGUGAAUUAUCCAAGGAAAAAGGAUCUGCUAUUUUGCAGCCCAAUAUAUGUUGUGUUCAGUACGGAGUAUAUCUUUUGUUACUCCAGUCCUUUACCAUGCCAAUUUUACAGUCAUACAAUUUAUCUGGAAAUAGUAUGCAAGUAAAAGCCAUAGGAAGAAUAUUCAAUUUGAUUUAAUGCUGUGAUCCAGAUAAUCUACAGACCGACAGCUGAAUUUUGUGGGUUCUAUUUUAACGUUUGCG
rnacentral:rRNA from 1 species